UACGUAGGGGGCAAGCGUUGUCCGGAAUCAUUGGGCGUAAAGCGCGUGUAGGUGGCGAGGCAAGUCGGGUGUGAAAGCCCUGGGCUCAACCCAGGAAGUGCACUCGAUACUGCCUAGCUAGAGUCCCGGAGAGGUUGGUGGAACUCUCGGUGUAGAGGUGAAAUUCGUAGAUAUCGAGAAGAACACCGGUGGCGAAGGCGGCCAACUGGACGGUGACUGACACUGAGACGCGAAAGCGUGGGGAGCAAACAGGG
rnacentral:rRNA from 1 species